CAGCCCCACAGCAUACUUCAGGAUGUGUCAGAAAUGCAAAUUCUGGGGUUCCACCUAACAACUACUGAAUCAGACACUCUGGGGUGGGCCCAGGGAUCAGUGUUUUCACAGGCCCUCCUGGGAUUCUGGUGGGCAUUCACGCUGGAGAACCACGGGUGAAGAGCAAGGGCAGUGAGCCAGACUGUCUGUGUUGGAACCAGCUCAACUCUGUCCCGUGGGAUCUUGAGCAAGUAACUCAACUUCCCCGUGUCUCAGUUUCCUCAUCUGCAAAGUGAAGGUGUUGGACUGAGGACCUCAGUUCCUUGCUAGCUCUUGGCUGGAGGCCUUCUUCGCUUCCUUGCUUCUUGGAUGUCUCCACUGAGUUGCCUCACAGCGUGGCUGAUGGCUUCCCCCAGAGCAAGUGGUCCAAGAGAAACAGAAUAUCUAAGAGAGAAGUCACAACCAUUUUACAACCCAAUGUCAAAGUGACACUGCUGCUGUAUUCUCUCUGUUAGAAGCAGGUCAAUAAAUCCAGGCCACACUCAAGGGAUGGGAUUAUACAAGGGCAGAAUACCAAGAUGUGGAGAUCACUGGGGGCCAUCCUAGAGUCUGCCUCCUGCGUGGGGACACAGUAGUGGGCAAAAUAACCCUUAACUCAUGAAGCCUACAUUCUUGUGCGGAAAGUCAAGUAUUUAGUAUGUUAGAAGAUGAUAAGUACAAUGGAAAAAGAUAAAUCUUAGUUGGAAUUUUCUAUAGCUUUAUUGUAGAUUCUUGGAGUAGAAUUACUGAGUCAAAACAUCUGAUUUGGAAAAAAAAAAGAUAUGUUGGGGCCGGCCUUGUGCAGCAGUUAAAUUUGCAUAUUCUCCUUUGGUGGCCGAGGGUUUGCUGGUUCAGAUCCCAGGUACAGACCUACACAUCGCUUAUCAAGCCAUGCUGUGGCAGGCAUCCCACAUAUAAAACAGAGUAAGAUGGGCACAGAUGAUAGCUCAGGGCCAGCCUUCCUCGGCAAAAAGAGGAGGAUUGGUGGCAGAUGUUAGCUCAGGGUUAAUCUUCCUCAAAAAAAAAAAAAAAGAUAUGACUUGUAUCAGAGCUCUUAGUUGCAACCAAAAAAACCAACUGAUUCAUUUAUGCAGAAUUAAAUAAUUUUACUUUAUUAUUGAAAUGACCAACGAGAAAUGGCCAGUAUGAAAAACCAAUGAGUAGUGCACAGAAUCUCUGGUAGGACAAGAGAACCAGGUCUGGAGUUCCCAGCCAGGAACAAUGCCUCAAAUCGCACUGCAGAGCUGAUCAUAUAAAUUCAACAUGACCAUCACUGUGGGGUAGUUUGUAGCACAGAUAUCACAGAGCUGCAACAGUGGACACAGGCCCCGGAACCAACUCCUCUGCCACCUCUGUUGCAGCCAUCUUUGCCAGUAGCUGUUCCAUAAAGUCCCUACUUUUAUACAUUAGUGGCACUGGUUCCAGAUCUGGGCCGGUGUAUCUGAUAGGUGAAGCCUAGAUCAUGUGCCACAAGGGAGACAAGGAAAGGAAAUAUUUGGCAAGUCUAAUUUCUGUGGUGGAAAAGGGAUUCUAUUUCACAAGGAAAAGGGAUCAGAUGCCACCUGGUCAACAUCCACCGAAACUAUUUUUAAGAUUCUUGAUCCAUAUUGCCAAGAUGCUUUCAUGAAAUGUACCAAUUUUUAUGCCCAUCAGUAGUGUAUUUGAAUGUCCAUUUCAUUGCAUCCUCACUGGCGAUGAUAGUUUACGGCUUUUUAUUUACACUUGCCUUCUGGGUGAUCUUGUGUAGUCUCAAGGCUUUAAAAACAACUGACAACCCCCAGUUUUUUUAUGUCCACCCUGAUCUCUCCCCUGAACUUCAGCCUUAUAGAUCCAACUACCUUCUCCACCUCUCCACUUGGAUGUCGGAUAAGUAUUUUAAGUUAACAUGUCCAAAUACCAAACAGACAUUCUGAAAUCACCCUCUCCCCCUCUACUACAAACCUACACCUUCUGCCCCCAUCAAUAACCAGAAACUCCAUUUUCCUAGUUGUUCAAGCUAAAGUCCUUGGCGUCAUUCUCAACUCCUGCCUUUUGUCUCCCACCCGGGAUUCAAUCUAUCAGUGAAUCCAGCUGGCUCUGUCUUUCUUCAAAGGGAUCAGAGUCCAAUCCCUCUUCCCCGCCACCUUUUCCCCACCACUACUGUUACCUGGUCAGAGCCACUGUCGUCUCUUACCUGGGUUGUUGUGAUAAUCUCCUACCUGGUCUCCUGGUUUCUGCCCUUGUAAACCUAAAAUCUCUUCUCAACCCAGCAAUAAGAGUGAUGCUGUUAAAAUGUAAAUCAGGGGGCUGGCCCCGUGGCCAAGUGGUUAGGUUCGUGUGCUCCGCUGCAGGUGGCCCAGUGUUUCAUUGGUUCGAAUCCUGGGCUUGGACAUGGCACCGCUCAUCAAACCACCCUGAGGCAGCGUCCCACAUGCCACAACUAGAAGGACCCACAACGAAGAAUAUACAACCAUGUACUGGGGGGCUUUGGGGAGAAAAGGAGAAAAAAAUGUAAAUCAGUUGUUAUGGGCUGAAUCGUGUCCCCCCCAAAUUCACACUUUGAGGCCCUAACCCCUAGUACCUCAGAAUGUGACUGUAUUUGGAGACAGGGCCUUUAAAGAGGUGAUUAAAUUAAAAAGAGGCAUUAGGGUGAGCCCUAGUCCAACGUGAUUGGUGUCCUUAUAAGAAGAGGAAACUCAGACACACAGAUUGGCACCAGGGAUGCACACACAGGAGAAAGAUCAUGUGAGGACGCAGCAAGAAGGCAGCCAUCUGCAAGGCCUCAGAAGAAACCGAGCUGCCCACACCUUGAUCUUGGACUUCCAGCCUCCAGAAUUGUGAGAAUGUAAAUUUCUGUUUAAGCCACUCAGUCUGUGGUAUUUUGUUAUAGCAGCCCUAGCAAACUGAUACAUCAGAUUACACCAUCCUCUCCCCAAACCCUCCCGGGGCUUCCCACUUUUUUGUGAGUUAAAGCUGAAGUUCUUACAGUGACCUACAGAGUCGUAUAUCAUCUGGCCUCUACCCUCUUCCUCUAGCCCGACUCCUUUCACUCUCUCCUUGGUCAUUCUGUUCUAGCCACUCAGCCUCCUUGGUUCCUUGAACACAACAGCCACAUUUUUGCCUCAGGGCCUUUUCACUUUCUGGCAUCCCCACUGAGAAGCCCUUUCCCCUGCAUUGCUCAUCCCCUCAUCUCUUUCAGUGACUUACUCACCCCUGACCACCCUAAAAGAGAACUGCCCUCUCCCCCUCCCUAAGGCCCUCCCCUCCCUGGUUUUACUUUUCUUGUUUCUCACCAUCUAACAUACUAUAGAUUUUACAUAUUUAUUUUUUUAUUGUCUGCCUCCCAUGCUACCAUGAAAUCUCCAAGAGGAUGGAAUUUGUGUCUGCUUUGUUCACUGCUGAAGCUCCAAGAUCUGAAUAUUGUCUUAAAAAUAGUACGUG
rnacentral:lncRNA from 1 species